GUUGGGGAGGCCGAGUGGUUAAGUCGUUGGAAUAGAAAUCCAAUGGGAUCUUCCCGCGCAGGCCCGAAUCCUGCCCGCAACG
rfam:Nematostella vectensis strain CH2 x CH6 NEMVEscaffold_452_Cont27642, whole genome shotgun sequence.